CAGUCUUGUAGCAAUAUGAGAUUGUUCAGUGGCGAACGGGUGCGUAACACGUGGGCACAUUCCGGGAAGCGAGAAAUAGCCCAGGGAAACUUGGAUUAAUAUCUCAUGUGGUCGCAAGACUAAAGGCGCAAGCCGCUUCCUGAUUGGCCCGCGGCCUAUCAGCUAGUUGGUGAGGUAAAAGCUCACCAAGGCAACGACGGGUAGCUGGUCUGAGAGGACGACCAGCCACACUGGAACUGAGACACGGUCCAGACACCUACGGGUGGCAGCAGUCGAGAAUCUUUCACAAUGGGGGAAACCCUGAUGGAGCGACGCCGCGUGGAGGUUAAGGUCUUCGGAUUGUAAACUCCUGUCAUGCGAGAACAAAGCCCGCAAGGGUGUGAUAGUACCGCAAGAGGAAGAGACGGCUAACUCUGUGCCAGCAGCCGCGGUAAUACAGAGGUCUCAAGCGUUGUUCGGAAUUACUGGGCGUAAAGGGUGCGCAGGCCGCGCGGGCAGUCAAAUGUGUAAUUCAGAGGCUCAACCUCUGGACUGCGCUUGAUACUUCCGCGCUCGAACCUUGGAGAGGAGUCUGGAAUUCUCGGUGUAGCAGUGAAAUGCGUGGAUAUCGAGAAGAACACUUAGGGCGAAGGCAAGACUCUGGACAAGUGUUGACGCUCAUGCACGAAGGCUAGGGUAGCGAACGGGAUUAGAUACCCCGGUAGUCCUAGCUGUAAACGGUGCACGCUUGGUGUGGGAGGCAACCCCUCCCGUGCCGAAGCUAAUGCGAUAAGCGUGCCGCCUGGGUAGUACGGUCGCAAGACUAAAACUCAAAGAAAUUGACGGGGACCCGCACAAGCGGUGGAGUAUUUGGCUUAAUUC
rnacentral:rRNA from 1 species